UACGUAGGGUGCGAGCGUUAAUCGGAAUUACUGGGCGUAAAGCGUGCGCAGGCGGUUUUGUAAGCCAGAUGUGAAAUCCCCGGGCUUAACCUGGGAAUGGCAUUUGGGACUGCAAGGCUCGAGUGCGGCAGAGGAGACUGGAAUUCCUGGUGUAGCGGUGAAAUGCGCAGAUAUCGGGAGGAACACCAAUGGCGAAGGCAGCUCGCUGGGACGGUACUGACGCUGAGACGCGAAAGCGUGGGGAGCAAACAGG
rnacentral:rRNA from 1 species